rnacentral:rRNA from 1 species
GUACACAAAAAUGCACAUGCUGUGAGCUCGAUGAGUAGGGCGGGACACGUGGUAUCCUGUCUGAAUAUGGGGGGACCAUCCUCCAAGGCUAAAUACUCCUGACUGACCGAUAGUGAACCAGUACCGUGAGGGAAAGGCGAAAAGAACCCCGGCGAGGGGAGUGAAAAAGAACCUGAAACCGUGUACGUACAAGCAGUGGGAGCACGCUUAGGCGUGUGACUGCGUACCUUUUGUAUAAUGGGUCAGCGACUUAUAUUCUGUAGCAAGGUUAACCGAAUAGGGGAGCCGAAGGGAAACCGAGUCUUAACUGGGCGUUAAGUUGCAGGGUAUAGACCCGAAACCCGGUGAUCUAGCCAUGGGCAGGUUGAAGGUUGGGUAACACUAACUGGAGGACCGAACCGACUAAUGUUGAAAAAUUAGCGGAUGACUUGUGGCUGGGGGUGAAAGGCCAAUCAAACCGGGAGAUAGCUGGUUCUCCCCGAAAGCUAUUUAGGUAGCGCCUCGUGAAUUCAUCUCCGGGGGUAGAGCACUGUUUCGGCAAGGGGGUCAUCCCGACUUACCAACCCGAUGCAAACUGCGAAUACCGGAGAAUGUUAUCACGGGAGACACACGGCGGGUGCUAACGUCCGUCGUGAAGAGGGAAACAACCCAGACCGCCAGCUAAGGUCCCAAAGUCAUGGUUAAGUGGGAAACGAUGUGGGAAGGCCCAGACAGCCAGGAUGUUGGCUUAGAAGCAGCCAUCAUUUAAAGAAAGCGUAAUAGCUCACUGGUCGAGUCGGCCUGCGCGGAAGAUGUAACGGGGCUAAACCAUGCACCGAAGCUGCGGCAGCGACGCUGAUGCGUUGUUGGGUAGGGGAGCGUUCUGUAAGCCUGCGAAGGUGUGCUGUGAGGCAUGCUGGAGGUAUCAGAAGUGCGAAUGCUGACAUAAGUAACGAUAAAGCGGGUGAAAAGCCCGCUCGCCGGAAGACCAAGGGUUCCUGUCCAACGUUAAUCGGGGCAGGGUGAGUCGACCCCUAAGGCGAGGCCGAAAGGCGUAGUCGAUGGGAAACAGGUUAAUAUUCCUGUACUUGGUGUUACUGCGAAGGGGGGACGGAGAAGGCUAUGUUGGCCGGGCGACGGUUGUCCCGGUUUAAGCGUGUAGGCUGGUUUUCCAGGCAAAUCCGGAAAAUCAAGGCUGAGGCGUGAUGACGAGGCACUACGGUGCUGAAGCAACAAAUGCCCUGCUUCCAGGAAAAGCCUCUAAGCAUCAGGUAACAUCAAAUCGUACCCCAAACCGACACAGGUGGUCAGGUAGAGAAUACCAAGGCGCUUGAGAGAACUCGGGUGAAGGAACUAGGCAAAAUGGUGCCGUAACUUCGGGAGAAGGCACGCUGAUAUGUAGGUGAAGUCCCUUGCGGAUGGAGCUGAAAUCAGUCGAAGAUACCAGCUGGCUGCAACUGUUUAUUAAAAACACAGCACUGUGCAAACACGAAAGUGGACGUAUACGGUGUGACGCCUGCCCGGUGCCGGAAGGUUAAUUGAUGGGGUCAGCGCAAGCGAAGCUCUUGAUCGAAGCCCCGGUAAACGGCGGCCGUAACUAUAACGGUCCUAAGGUAGCGAAAUUCCUUGUCGGGUAAGUUCCGACCUGCACGAAUGGCGUAAUGAUGGCCAGGCUGUCUCCACCCGAGACUCAGUGAAAUUGAACUCGCUGUGAAGAUGCAGUGUACCCGCGGCAAGACGGAAAGACCCCGUGAACCUUUACUAUAGCUUGACACUGAACAUUGAGCCUUGAUGUGUAGGAUAGGUGGGAGGCUUGGAAGUGUGGACGCCAGUCUGCAUGGAGCCGACCUUGAAAUACCACCCUUUAAUGUUUGAUGUUCUAACGUUGACCCGUAAUCCGGGUUGCGGACAGUGUCUGGUGGGUAGUUUGACUGGGGCGGUCUCCUCCUAAAGAGUAACGGAGGAGCACGAAGGUUGGCUAAUCCUGGUCGGACAUCAGGAGGUUAGUGCAAUGGCAUAAGCCAGCUUGACUGCGAGCGUGACGGCGCGAGCAGGUGCGAAAGCAGGUCAUAGUGAUCCGGUGGUUCUGAAUGGAAGGGCCAUCGCUCAACGGAUAAAAGGUACUCCGGGGAUAACAGGCUGAUACCGCCCAAGAGUUCAUAUCGACGGCGGUGUUUGGCACCUCGAUGUCGGCUCAUCACAUCCUGGGGCUGAAGUAGGUCCCAAGGGUAUGGCUGUUCGCCAUUUAAAGUGGUACGCGAGCUGGGUUUAGAACGUCGUGAGACAGUUCGGUCCCUAUCUGCCGUGGGCGCUGGAGAACUGAGGGGGGCUGCUCCUAGUACGAGAGGACCGGAGUGGACGCAUCACUGGUGUUCGGGUUGUCAUGCCAAUGGCACUGCCCGGUAGCUAAAUGCGGAAGAGAUAAGUGCUGAAAGCAUCUAAGCACGAAACUUGCCCCGAGAUGAGUUCUCCCUGACCCUUUAAGGGUCCUGAAGGAACGUUGAAGACGACGACGUUGAUAGGCCGGGUGUGUAAGCGCAGCGAUGCGUUGAGCUAACCGGUACUAAUGAACCGUGAGG